rnacentral:rRNA from 1 species
UCUACAGGCUUAACACAUGCAAGUCGAGGGGCAGCAUGGUCUUAGCUUGCUAAGGCCGAUGGCGACCGGCGCACGGGUGAGUAACACGUAUCCAACCUGCCGUCUACUCUUGGACAGCCUUCUGAAAGGAAGAUUAAUACAAGAUGGCAUCAUGAGUCCGCAUGUUCACAUGAUUAAAGGUAUUCCGGUAGACGAUGGGGAUGCGUUCCAUUAGAUAGUAGGCGGGGUAACGGCCCACCUAGUCUUCGAUGGAUAGGGGUUCUGAGAGGAAGGUCCCCCACAUUGGAACUGAGACACGGUCCAAACUCCUACGGGAGGCAGCAGUGAGGAAUAUUGGUCAAUGGGCGAGAGCCUGAACCAGCCAAGUAGCGUGAAGGAUGACUGCCCUAUGGGUUGUAAACUUCUUUUAUAAAGGAAUAAAGUCGGGUAUGGAUACCCGUUUGCAUGUACUUUAUGAAUAAGGAUCGGCUAACUCCGUGCCAGCAGCCGCGGUAAUACGGAGGAUCCGAGCGUUAUCCGGAUUUAUUGGGUUUAAAGGGAGCGUAGAUGGAUGUUUAAGUCAGUUGUGAAAGUUUGCGGCUCAACCGUAAAAUUGCACUUGAUACUGGAUAUCUUGAGUGCAGCUGAGGCACGCGGAAUUCGUGGUGUAACGGUGAAAUGCUUAGAUAUCACGAAGAACUCCGAUUGCGAAGGCAGCCUGCUAAGCUGCAACUGACAUUGAGGCUCGAAAGUGUGGGUAUCAAACAGGAUUAGAUACCCUGGUAGUCCACACGGUAAACGAUGAAUACUCGCUGUUUGCGAUAUACUGCAAGCGGCCAAGCGAAAGCGUUAAGUAUUCCACCUGGGGAGUACGCCGGCAACGGUGAAACUCAAAGGAAUUGACGGGGGCCCGCACAAGCGGAGGAACAUGUGGUUUAAUUCGAUGAUACGCGAGGAACCUUACCCGGGCUUAAAUUGCAGAUGAAUUACGGUGAAAGCCGUAAGCCGCAAGGCAUCUGUGAAGGUGCUGCAUGGUUGUCGUCAGCUCGUGCCGUGAGGUGUCGGCUUAAGUGCCAUAACGAGCGCAACCCUUGUUGUCAGUUACUAACAGGUUCCGCUGAGGACUCUGACAAGACUGCCAUCGUAAGAUGUGAGGAAGGUGGGGAUGACGUCAAAUCAGCACGGCCCUUACGUCCGGGGCUACACACGUGUUACAAUGGGGGGUACAGAGGGCCGCUACCACGCGAGUGGAUGCCAAUCCCCAAAACCUCUCUCAGUUCGGACUGGAGUCUGCAACCCGACUCCACGAAGCUGGAUUCGCUAGUAAUCGCGCAUCAGCCACGGCGCGGUGAAUACGUUCCCGGGCCUUGUACACACCGCCCGUCAAGCCAUGGGAGCCGGGGGUACCUGAAGUGCGUAACCGCGAGGAGCGCCCUAGGGUAAAACUGGUGACUGG